UGUACUGUAGUCAGGGAAGUAUAUGAUUAAGAGUAAAGAUCCUUUCUUCUCAAUCCUGUUACUUGGAGUUUUUGUAUAAUUUUGAAAGAAAGCUAGCAUACCUUUUUAUCGUCAUAGGUUCUCUCAGAUCACUCAUUAUCUUUUAUAUAUCUCACUGAGACUGUUUUAAUUUGCAAAAAUUCUUAAGCAUACUUACUUUGCAUUUAUUGCCUGAUCAAAACGGGAUCCGAGGAGGGGAAUGUCAUACUCUUAGAUCAAAGACUUUGGAAAUUAAAACUUUGUCAACUCUUGCUGGCAUAUUGCUUAUUAGAGGGACCAUGGGCUAU
rnacentral:lncRNA from 1 species